UUUUUUUCUCUUUGAUGUUGUUGUUGUUUUGAUUUGUUGGUGAAAGAAGAGUUGCGUGAACGUUUAUUAUAUAGGCCAAUUUUUGUGACUAAUUUACGACUACAACUAAAUAAUUAGGUGUACCUACUUACCAAUGUGAAACACGUUUUCCAUCUACUUUAUACGACUAUGGUGCGACGUUUCUACGACUACAGGCUGACUAAGACGUCUAAUCGUCCUGUAGUCGCCAAAUUAGCGACUAAAUAAAAUAGACGGUAGAAUAGUCGUUAAUUAGCGACUAAGCAACGACAAAAUUAUCCCUUCAAUAAUAUAAUCGUCAAAUAGUCGUUACUUGCCGACUCUUUGCCGACUGCAUACGAUAGUCGUAAAACAACGACUAUGUAACUACAAUUUUUCGUGUUGUCGCAUGCGAGUCGUAAAUCCGUCGUCAAAUAGUCGUAUAAUGUUACGACUACGUUUGUUGUCGCUGAUUGUAGUCGUCGUUUACCUGUUUUCUUGUAGUGAUAAUCCUUAACUAGUUCCGAGGCUAACAACAAAUUCUCCAUUAUAAGCCGAUCUUUGAUGAAUACAGACUGGUUAUUCACUACAGGAAAAUGGGUUUUUAAUAGCACAGAAAUAUAGCGUUUUAUGUCAAUAUGCUAUCAUUGAUAGAAGGAUAAAAUAAAGAUAACGUC
rnacentral:sRNA from 1 species